GAUGAAGAACGUAGCGAAAUGCGAUAAGUAAUGCGAAUUGCAGAAUUUCCGUGAGUCAUCGAAUCUUUGAACGCACAUUGCGCCCACUGGUAUUCCGGUGGGCAUGCCUGUUCGAGCGUCAUUAUCCUCCCUCAAACCCCGGGUUUGGUGUUGGACCCAAGUUGUGUGAACAACUGGUCUCAAAGACAAUGACGGCGUCCGUGGGACCCUCGGUGCAACGAGCUUUUAGGAGCACGCUUCGAGUUGCAAGGACCUUCCGGGCCGGUCUCCUUUACCAUUUUACAAGGUUGACCUCGGGUCAGGUAGGAAUACCCGCUGAACUUAAGCAUAUCAAUAAGCGGAGGA
rnacentral:misc_RNA from 1 species